rnacentral:rRNA from 1 species
GAACGGGUGAGUAACACGUGGGUGAUCUGCCCUGCACUUCGGGAUAAGCCUGGGAAACUGGGUCUAAUACCGGAUAGGAGCCAUUUUUAGUGUGAUGGUUGGAAAGUUUUUUCGGUGUAGGAUGAGCUCGCGGCCUAUCAGCUUGUUGGUGGGGUAAUGGCCUACCAAGGCGGCGACGGGUAGCCGGCCUGAGAGGGUGGACGGCCACAUUGGGACUGAGAUACGGCCCAG